UUUGGUGGCGAUGGCGGAGGGGUUCCACACGUACCCAUCCCGAACACGACCGUUAAGCCCUCCAGCGCCGAUGGUA
rnacentral:rRNA from 1 species